rnacentral:rRNA from 1 species
ACUCCUGCGGGAGGCAGCAGUGGGGAAUAUUGCACAAUGGGCGCAAGCCUGAUGCAGCCAUGCCGCGUGUAUGAAGAAGGCCUUCGGGUUGUAAAGUACUUUCAGCGGGGAGGAAGGCAAUACGGUUAAUAACCGUGUUGAUUGACGUUACCCGCAGAAGAAGCACCGGCUAACUCCGUGCCAGCAGCCGCGGUAAUACGGAGGGUGCAAGCGUUAAUCGGAAUUACUGGGCGUAAAGCGCACGCAGGCGGUCUGUCAAGUCGGAUGUGAAAUCCCCGGGCUCAACCUGGGAACUGCAUUCGAAACUGGCAGGCUUGAGUCUUGUAGAGGGGGGUAGAAUUCCAGGUGUAGCGGUGAAAUGCGUAGAGAUCUGGAGGAAUACCGGUGGCGAAGGCGGCCCCCUGGACAAAGACUGACGCUCAGGUGCGAAAGCGUGGGGAGCAAACAGGAUUAGAAACCCCAGUAGUCC